GGUCUUGAUCUCCUAACCUCGUGAUCUGCCCGCCUUGGCCUCUCAAAGUGCUGGGAUUACAGGCUUGAGCCACUGGGCCCGGCCUAUUCUAAAAACUUUCUAACUGGGCUCCAGUCUUCAUUCUUCUCCCUGCAAACUCAUACUCCUCAGAUCUGAUCAUGUUACUCUCUGAUCAUGUGCUGUCCUGCUCAUAAAUCCUGGCCAGUACUCCUUUGCCUUGAGGUGAAACCCUGGCCGGUGCUCCUUGACCUUGAGCAUGACAUAAGAAGCCUUCAUGAGCUGGACUUGAGCUUUCCAGGCUCAGCUCUCCCUGAUGUCCUAUGGAUGCUCCAGCUGUCAUGAACUACUUGAGUCAUACUCUCUCCAAGCUCUGACUUUGUAUGAACUGUUCCCAGCCCUAACGUGCUCUGCAACCUCACACCUCUGACCAUCAGCUUCCCUGUGUGUCUCACUAAUUCCUCUUUGUCCUUGGCCAUGACGAGUCUCUCUUCUGUGCUUCCAAAGUACAUUGCAGGUGCUUCUCUUGUUACACUUAUCCUGAACCAUAAACAAUGCCUGUUUCUCUUACUAGAGUGUGAGCCACUUGAGGUUAGAGUGUGUGUCUCAUAUCUGCACCCCUAGCUACUAACACUGUAUAUGGUGCAUGAUUCAUUUUUCAUCCAUCCAUUCAACAAAUAUUUGAUUGUCUACUAGAGGCCAAGCACUCUUCCAGCAUGGGGCUAAGGAACUGUACAAGACAGGUGUACUAGUCAUUCUGCUGUUGUAUCUCUGCUCCAAAUCCCACCUUUUUUUUUUUUUUUUUUUGAGUUGGAGUCUCACUCUGUUGCCCAGGCUGGAGAGCAGUGGCACAGUCUCAGCUCACUGCAACCUCCACAUCCUGGAUUCAAGUGAUUCUCCUGCCUCAGCCUCCCAAGUAGCUGAGAUUGCAGGUGUCCACCACCACGCCCGACUAAUUUUUGUGUUUUUAGUAGAUUUUUACUACUCUCUUUUUAUUGGUUUGUUGUCUAUCUUCCCUACCUGGAAUUUAAGGUCCACAAGCCCAUGAAAUUUCAUCAUGUUGGCCAGGCUGGUCUUGAACUCCUGAUCUCAAGUGAUCUGCCUGCCUUGGCCUCCCAAAGCGCUGGGAUUACAUGUGUGAGCCACCGCGCCUGGCUCAAAUCCCACCUUUUAAUGCUCUCUUUGUGAUGCUGGGGCUGGUAUAUCCUUUGACAUGGGACUUCCGGUUUUCAUUGGCGGUGAUACUAGUUGGACACUGGAAGGCAGGCAGAGGAAGCAGGAAACUGAUCUUUCCUUUAUGCUUCCUCUAUGCUUGCCAGGGUUGCCCCAGCAAUGGCCCUUCUUCCUCGUGGCAGAAGCUGGCUCUAGUUUCUAGCUCCUUUCAACGCUCCCAGAACCAGCCUCCCUAUGCCACCUUAGAGUGCAGUUCCUGUUCUCCUGGCUGGACCCUGACUGAUGCCAUGGGGAAAGCCCUCGGGCUCGUGGACCUUAAAUUCCAGGUCCUGUUGUGCCCAACUCAUGAUUUAUCCAGGUCACACCAGUCUGGUCUGUCACAGUAAGAGGGCACCAUCACAUACACUAUAAUAUGAAUCAUGACCCCCGGAGUUGUGUGGAGUUUCUGCAUCUCUCCCUCCCCACUGUGGCUACCCUCAUCCAGCAACCAUCCUGUCUCUCACCGGUAUUACCGCAGCUGAGACCCAGGUCUUAAGGAAGCUGAGACCCAGGCCAGCAGGGGCCUCACAGCUUGGAAAAAGAGGAGGGUGUAAGACUCUGGAUGAAGCUGAGAGAUCCUUCCAUGCUUGGCUGAGAGACUACACAGACAUGAGCUUCAGGAGACUCCAAAGCCUCGGAUCCCCUUCUAAACUAGCACUGAAUUCUGAUUGGCUGUCUUUGCCUGCCUCAGUUUGUUCCUUUUACUGAUUGGCUAGGUUCUUCUGCCCAUGGCAGAGCCCUGCUCCAGCCACCGGAUCCUCCCACCUGCCACAGUGUCACCUGGGAUUGGCUGGGCUCUGAAAGGCCAGGCUGGCUUGACUCUUGCCAUCAUCAGAUUCUUCCUCAUUAAACAAAUGAAUCACAAUCCUAAUUAAUUUGAGCAACAGAAUUUAUGUAACUACUCCCAGCAGGAUGUCUGCUCUCAGUCAGCAGAGAGAUUACUUCCUCUCUCUGGGAAAUUCCAGCCUUGCUGGUCAAUAAGCCUUAAUGAUGACUGAAAUCUCCCAUCUGUCUCUGCUCAGGGCAGGUAACCCCUACUAAGCAGACACCCAGUUGGCUCGAGGCAGUACCCCGGGCACCGGCAGGACAAGGACAACGAUCUCCCAGCCUAGAUGUGUCCUGAGCCACAUGGAGCACACAGUAGGUGUUUACUUAAGGACAGGGGCUGCCCCUUCCAGGGAAGUUCUGAACCACUUAAAACCCACAGGAAGUGUUCAAUGUCUACUUAUGGAAUAAAUGAAAGGGAGGAUGUGUCACUCAGAUACUUAUAAAAUGGUCUCAAGAUCCUAAACUCCAAGCAAGCUUCUCCAGCUCUUUCCAGCCUUUGCUCCCCCUAUUUCCCAUGACCAUAACCCAAUUCUGUCUUUUUCCUAUUUUGAACUUUCCAGACUCAGAAAUUUGGCUCUUCAUGUUCCCUGCCCUUGAACCGUCCCAGCCCUCUCUCCAAAACAGGCUUCAUGCUGGCUGCAUGGGAGGGAGGGGUAGCAAAGUGGAAAGUGUUACAGAAUUAGUGCUAAUUCUGGCUUUGUCACUUACUCAUUGUACUUCACCUCUCUGUUCUUAACUUUUCUCUCAUACAUAAACCACACGGGGUUCUUGGGAAGAUUAAAUAAGAAAACAUGGUGAAAAUGUAUUGCACAGUACUUGACUCAUUUAAUUGGUGACAGACAGUGUUUUAGGUAAUGGAGAUACAGUGGUGCUCAAGGCAGGCAAGAUUCCUGCUCCCAAAGAAUUUAAUUUCCAGGAGACAAGAAGCAAGCUAGCAAAUGUAUAAGAUAAUAGUUAGGGAACAGUACUCAGCAAAAAUAAAAAAUGUAUGGAGAGGGACUGAGGGGAGUGAGGAACUCUUUGAGGAGGUGCCACUCUGAGACCCAAAUGACAAGAAGGAAUUAACCACAUGACAUUCUAGAAAGAGGGAAAAGAGUUGCUGUUAAGAAGAUGUGGGUGUGUUAAAAAAAAAUUGCAAAGUCCCUUAGGUACGAUUGAGCUGCUAAUGAUCAAUCUGAGGCUUCUGCUCUGUGUCUUAUAGGUAAACGGGGUAAGGUUUGGUAGGACUGAAAAAUUCAUCCAGCCACCUAUCUAGGGGGUGUGAGGGUCAAGAUGUGGACCCAGGUCUUCUGCCCUUAAGAGCAGAGUGCUUGUCACUACAGCACAAAGAAGGUGCAAGAGAAAGGAAAAGUGAGUGGGAGGCGGUGAGGGAGGAACAGACUGCCUUGUCCUCCACCAGAUCUAAAUCUGUCUCCUCCUGAUGGUUGGCAGGAUUACAGGAUCUGACUCCCAUUUGGGCCUUCCACCUCCGCUGGCCUAAGCAGUCAAGUGUCAGAGAGCACUGGACCUAACAGCUCCCUCACCAGAGCAGCUGUGAUUCCUUCUUCAUUUCCAGCAGGGAAGACCCAACAACUUUUAUAAUAUGGGAUUUCUUUUAUUCUCAUGAUAAUAAUGUUCAUUGUGGAAAAUAAAAAAAAAUGAUAAAAUAAAAAUCAGCCAGAAUUCCAACUUCUGGAGAUUUUGGUGUCUUUCUGCAAAGUUCCUAUGCACAUAGAUACUUUAUAAAAUUAUGAACAUACUGUACAUACAGUUUUGGAAUAUGCCUUUUUCCUUCUGUCAUGAAAAAGUCUUCAAAUGCCUUUUAACAGCUACACAAUAGUUCACUACAUGAACCAACUCAAAUGUAACUAUUUUUGGCCUUUUGUUAUAAAUAACACAAGAACCCUCAGUCUUUGUUACAUAAUGUCCUAACAGAGUAGGGGAAAUGCUCCCCAAUCCGGUGCAAUGUCCUGUGCCCAGGGAAACCAAUU
rnacentral:lncRNA from 10 species